CAAAAAUCAGCCCCCGAAGGUCGGGGUCCCAAGACCCCCCAGCGGAAAAAUGGCCAAGAAACGGGUGGGCUAUAGCCUUGGUGGGGGGCGUGGGCGAAGUUCGUCCGCGGGACUCGGAAUGGCCCCAGACUUGGCGGGCGGCCUCUGUGUGCCAAAAAUAGGCCACGGGCACAGCCGCGCCCAAAAAUCAGCCCCCGAAGGUCAGGGUCCCAAGACCCCCCAGCGGAAAAAUGGCCAAGAAACGCGUGGGCUAUAGCCUUGGUGGGGGGCGUGGGCGAAGUUCGUCCGCGGGACUCGGAAUGGCCCCAGACUUGGCGGGCGGCCUCCGUGUGCCAAAAAUAGGCCACGGGCACAGCCGCGCCCAAAAAUCAGCCCCCGUAGGUCGGGGUCCCAAGACCCCCCAGCGGAAAAAUAGCCAAGAAACGGGUGGGCUAUAGCCUUGGUGGGGGGCGUGGGCGAAGUUCGUCCGCGGGACUCGGAAUGGCCCCAGACUUGGCGGGCGGCCUCCGUGUGCCAAAAAUAGGCCACGGGCACAGCCGCGCCCAAAAAUCAGCCCCCGAAGGUCGGGGUCACAAGACCCCCCAGCGGAAAAAAGGCCAAGAAACGCGUGGGCUAUAGCCUUGGUGGGGGGCGUGGGCGAAGUUCGUCCGCGGGACUCGGAAUGGCCCCAGACUUGGCGGGCGGCCUCCGUGUGCCAAAAAUAGGCCACGGGCACAGCCGCGCCCAAAAAUCAGCCCCCGAAGGUCGGGGUCCCAAGACCCCCCAGCGGAAAAAUGGCCAAGAAACGGGUGGGCUAUAGCCUUGGUGGGGGGCGUGGGCGAAGUUCGUCCGCGGGACUCAGAAUGGCCCCAGACUUGGCGGGCGGCCUCCGUGUGCCAAAAAUAGGCCACGGGCACAGCCGCGCCCAAAAAUCAGCCCCCGAAGGUCGGGGUCACAAGACCCCCCAGCGGAAAAAAGGCCAACAAACGCGUGGGCUAUAGCCUUGGUGGGGGGCGUGGGCGAAGUUCGUCCGCGGGACUCGGAAUGGCCCCAGACUUGGCAGGCGGCCUCCGUGUGCCAAAAAUAGGCCACGGGCACAGCCGCGCCCAAAAAUCAGCCCCCGAAGGUCGGGGUCACAAGACCCCCCAGCGGAAAAAAUGGCCAAGAAACGCGUGGGCUAUAGCCUUGGUGGGGGGCGUGGGGGAAGUUCGUCCACGGGACUCGGAAUGGCCCCAGACUUGGCGGGCGGCCUCCGUGUGCCAAAAAUAGGCCACGGGCACAGCCGCGCCCAAAAAUCAGCCCCCGAAGGUCGGGGUCCCAAGACCCCCCAGCGGAAAAAUGGCCAAGAAACGGGUGGGCUAUAGCCUUGGUGGGGGGCGUGGGCGAAGUUCGUCCGCGGGACUCGGAAUGGCCCCAGACUUGGCGGGCGGCCUCCGUGUGCCAAAAAUAGGCCACGGACACAGCCGCGCCCAAAAAUCAGCCCCCGAAGGUCGGGGUCCCAAGACCCCCCAGCGGAAAAAUGGCCAAGAAACGCGUGGGCUAUAGCCUUGGUGGGGGGCGUGGGCGAAGUUCGUCCGCGGGACUCGGAAUGGCCCCAGACUUGGCGGGCGGCCUCCGUGUGCCAAAAAUAGGCCACGGGCACAGCCGCGCCCAAAAAUCAACCCCCGAAGGUCGGGGUCCCAAGACCCCCCAGCGGAAAAAUAGCCAAGAAACGGGUGGGCUAUAGCCUUGGUGGGGGGCGUGGGCGAAGUUCGUCCGCGGGACUCGGAAUGGCCCCAGACUUGGCGGGCGGCCUCCGUGUACCAAAAAUAGGCCACGGGCACAGCCGCGCUCAAAAAUCAGCCCCCGAAGGUCGGGGUCACAAGACCCCCCAGCGGAAAAAAGGCCAAGAAACGCGUGGGCUAUAGCCUUGGUGGGGGGCGUGGGCGAAGUUCGUCCGCGGGACUCGGAAUGGCCCCAGACUUGGCGGGCGGCCUCCGUGUGCCAAAAAUAGGCCACGGGCACAGCCGCGCCCAAAAAUCAGCCCCCGAAGGUCGGGGUCACAAGACCCCCCAGCGGAAAAAAGGCCAAGAAACGCGUGGGCUAUAGCCUUGGUGGGGGGCAUGGGCGAAGUUCGUCCGCGGGACUCGAAAUGGCCCCAGACUUGGCGGGCGGCCUCCGUGUGCCAAAAAUAGGCCACGGGCACAGCCGCGCCCAAAAAUCAGCCCCCGAAGGUCGGGGUCACAAGACCCCCCAGCGGAAAAAAGGCCAAGAAACGCGUGGGCUAUAGCAUUGGUGGGGGGCGUGGGCGAAGUUCGUCCGCGGGACUCGGAAUGGCCCCAGACUUGGCGGGCGGCCUCCGUGUGCCAAAAAUAGGCCACGGGCACAGCCGCGCCCAAAAAUCAGCCCCCGAAGGUCGGGGUCACAAGACCCCCCAGCGGAAAAAAGGCCAAGAAACGCGUGGGCUAUAGCCUUGGUGGGGGGCGUGGGCGAAGUUCGUCCGCGGGACUCGGAAUGGCCCCAGACUUGGCGGGCGGCCUCCGUGUGCCAAAAAUAGGCCACGGGCACAGCCGCGCCCAAAAAUCAGCCCCCGAAGGUCGGGGUCACAAGACCCCCCAGCGGAAAAAAGGCCAAGAAACGCGUGGGCUAUAGCAUUGGUGGGGGGCGUGGGCGAAGUUCGUCCGCGGGACUCGGAAUGGCCCCAGACUUGGCGGUCGGCCUCCGUGUGCCAAAAAUAGGCCACGGGCAUAGCCGCGCCCAAAAAUCAGCCCCCGAAGGUCGGGGUCACAAGACCCCCCAGCGGAAAAAAGGCCAAAAAACGCAUGGGCUAUAGCCUUGGUGGGGGGCGUGGGCGAAGUUCGUCCGCGGGACUCGGAAUGGCCCCAGACUUGGCGGGCGGCCUCCGUGUGCCAAAAAUAGGCCACGGGCACAGCCGCGCCCAAAAAUCAGCCCCCGAAGGUCGGGGUCCCAAGACCCCCCAGCGGAAAAAUGGCCAAAAAACGGGUGGGCUAUAGCCUUGGUGGGGGGCGUGGGCGAAGUUCGUCCGCGGGACUCGGAAUGGCCCCAGACUUGGCGGGCGGCCUCC
rnacentral:lncRNA from 1 species